rnacentral:rRNA from 1 species
GAUAGUGGACGUUACUCGCAGAAUAAGCACCGGCUAACUCUGUGCCAGCAGCCGCGGUAAUACAGAGGGUGCAAGCGUUAAUCGGAUUUACUGGGCGUAAAGCGCGCGUAGGCGGCUAAUUAAGUCAAAUGUGAAAUCCCCGAGCUUAACUUGGGAAUUGCAUUCGAUACUGGUUAGCUAGAGUGUGGGAGAGGAUGGUAGAAUUCCAGGUGUAGCGGUGAAAUGCGUAGAGAUCUGGAGGAAUACCGAUGGCGAAGGCAGCCAUCUGGCCUAACACUGACGCUGAGGUGCGAAAGCAUGGGGAGCAAACAGGAUUAGAUACCCUGGUAGUCCAUGCCGUAAACGAUGUCUACUAGCCGUUGGGGCCUUUGAGGCUUUAGUGGCGCAGCUAACGCGAUAAGUAGACCGCCUGGGGAGUACGGUCGCAAGACUAAAACUCAAAUGAAUUGACGGGGGCCCGCACAAGCGGUGGAGCAUGUGGUUUAAUUCGAUGCAACGCGAAGAACCUUACCUGGCCUUGACAUAGUAAGAACUUUCCAGAGAUGGAUUGGUGCCUUCGGGAACUUACAUACAGGUGCUGCAUGGCUGUCGUCAGCUCGUGUCGUGAGAUGUUGGGUUAAGUCCCGCAACGAGCGCAACCCUUUUCCUUAUUUGCCAGCGAGUAAUGUCGGGAACUUUAAGGAUACUGCCAGUGACAAACUGGAGGAAGGCGGGGACGACGUCAAGUCAUCAUGGCCCUUACGGCCAGGGCUACACACGUGCUACAAUGGUCGGUACAAAGGGUUGCUACCUAGCGAUAGGAUGCUAAUCUCAAAAAGCCGAUCGUAGUCCGGAUUGGAGUCUGCAACUCGACUCCAUGAAGUCGGAAUCGCUAGUAAUCGCGGAUCAGAAUGCCGCGGUGAAUACGUUCCCGGGCCUUGUACACACCGCCCGUCACACCAUGGGAGUUUGUUGCACCAGAAGUAGCUAGCCUAACUGCAAAGAGGGCGGUACCACGGUGCCCGAUCCGC